rnacentral:rRNA from 1 species
GAUGAACGCUGGCGGCGUGCUUAACACAUGCAAGUCGAACGAUGAAGCCCAGCUUGCUGGGUGGAUUAGUGGCGAACGGGUGAGUAACACGUGAGUAACCUGCCCUUAACUCUGGGAUAAGCCUGGGAAACUGGGUCUAAUACCGGAUAGGAGCGUCCACCGCAUGGUGGGUGUUGGAAAGAUUUAUCGGUUUUGGAUGGACUCGGGGCCUAUCAGCUUGUUGGUGAGGUAAUGGCUCACCAAGGCGACGACGGGUAGCCGGCCUGAGAGGGUGACCGGCCACACUGGGACUGAGACACGGCCCAGACUCCUACGGGAGGCAGCAGUGGGGAAUAUUGCACAAUGGGCGAAAGCCUGAUGCAGCGACGCCGCGUGAGGGAUGACGGCCUUCGGGUUGUGAACCUCUUUCAGUAGGGAAGAAGCGAAAGUGACGGUACCUGCAGAAGAAGCACCGGCUAACUACGUG